UACAGAGGUCUCAAGCGUUGUUCGGAUUCAUUGGGCGUAAAGGGUGCGUAGGUGGCGGGGUAAGUCAGGUGUGAAAUCUCGGGGCUCAACCCCGAAACUGCACUUGAUACUGCCUUGCUCGAGUACUGGAGAGGAGAUUGGAAUUUACGGUGUAGCAGUGAAAUGCGUAGAUAUCGUAAGGAAGACCAGUGGCGAAGGCGGGUCUCUGGGCAGUAACUGACGCUGAGGAGCGAAAGCGUGGGGAGCGAACAGG
rnacentral:rRNA from 1 species